UCCAGACUCCUACGGGAGGCAGCAGUGGGGGAUAUUGCACAAUGGGGGGAACCCUGAUGCAGCGACGCCGCGUGGGUGAAGGAGCGUUUCGGCGCGUAAAGCCCUCUCGGCAGGGAAGAAGGAGGACGGUACCUGACUAAGAAGCCCCGGCUAACUACGUGCCAGCAGCCGCGGUAAUACGUAGGGGGCAAGCGUUAUCCGGAUUUACUGGGUGUAAAGGGGGCGCAGACGGCAGCGCAAGCCAGGAGUGAAAGCCCGGGGCCCGACCCCGGGACUGCUCUUGGAACUGCGCGGCUGGAGUGCAGGAGGGGCAGGCGGAAUUCCUGGUGUAGCGGUGAAAUGCGUAGAUAUCAGGAGGAACACCGGUGGCGAAGGCGGCCUGCUGGACUGCGACUGACGUUGAGGCCCGAAAGCGUGGGGAGCAAACAGGAUUAGAUACCCGCGUACG
rnacentral:rRNA from 1 species